rnacentral:rRNA from 1 species
GACGAACCGAGCGAACGUUAUUCGGAAUCACUGGGCUUAAAGGGCGCGUAGGCGGGCGAUCAAGUCAGGGGUGAAAGCCCCCAGCUCAACUGGGGAAGUGCCUCUGAUACUGGUCGUCUCGAGGGGGAUAGGGGCGUGCGGAACUUCCGGUGGAGCGGUGAAAUGCGUAGAUAUCGGGAGGAACACCUGUGGCGAAAGCGGCUCUCUGGACCACAACUGACGCUGAGGCGCGAAAGCUAGGGGAGCAAACAGG